rnacentral:rRNA from 1 species
GAUGAACGCUAGCGAUAGGCCUAACACAUGCAAGUCGAGGGGCAGCACAUGAGUAGCAAUACGAUGGUGGCGACCGGCGCACGGGUGAGUAACACGUAUGCAACCUACCUUUAACAGGGGAAUAACCCGUUGAAAAACGGACUAAUACUCCAUAACACAGGGGUCCCGCAUGGGAAUAUUUGUUAAAGAUUAAUCGGUUGAAGAUGGGCAUGCGUUCCAUUAGCUUGUUGUGGGGUAAGAGCUC